AUUGAACGCUGGCGGCAGGCCUAACACAUGCAAGUCGGACGGUAGCACAGGGGAGCUUGCUCCUCGGGUGACGAGUGGCGGACGGGUGAGUAAUGUCUGGGGAUCUGCCCGAUAGAGGGGGAUAACCACUGGAAACGGUGGCUAAUACCGCAUAAUGUCGCAAGACCAAAGAGGGGGACCUUCGGGCCUCUCACUAUCGGAUGAACCCAGAUGGGAUUAGCUAGUAGGCGGGGUAACGGCCCACCUAGGCGACGGUCCCUAGCUGGUCUGAGAGGAUGACCAGCCACACUGGAACUGAGACACGGUCCAGACUCCUACGGGAGUCAGCAGUGGGGAAUAUUGCACAAUGGGCGCAAGCCUGAUGCAGCCAUGCCGCGUGUAUGAAGAAGGCCUUCGGGUUGUAAAGUACUUUCAGCGGGGAGGAGGGCGAUGUGGUUAAUAACCGCGUCGAUUGACGUUACCCGCAGAAGAAGCACCGGCUAACUCCGUGCCAGCCGCCGCCGUAA
rnacentral:rRNA from 1 species